UGCCAGCCGCCGCGGUAAUACGGAGGGGGCUAGCGUUGUUCGGAAUUACUGGGCGUAGAGCGCACGUAGGCGGACUAUUAAGUCAGGGGUGAAAUCCCGGGGCUCAACCCCGGAACUGCCUUUCAUACUGGCGAUCUGGAGUUCGAGAGAGGUGAGUGGAAUUCCGAGUGUAGAGGUGAAAUUCGUAGAUAUUCGGAGGAACACCAGUGGCGAAGGCGGCUCACUGGCUCGAUACUGACGCUGAGGUGCGAAAGCGUGGGGAGCAAACAGGAUUAGAUA
rnacentral:rRNA from 1 species